rnacentral:piRNA from 1 species
UAGACCAAACAUCCUACAGUAGGU